AAAAAAAUAGGCAAGGAGUGCAAAGCAGGGCGGGGCGGGACCGGCUGGCGUGGUGGGGGAGUGGUGCUAGAGCCUUUGCAAAUGGGAAAGGAACCAAGACUUGGAAGAAGCGGGGAAGGAGGGAAAGAGUAGGGAACGAAAAAAAAAAAAAAAAAGAACAAGUAUGUACAAGUACCAACUCCCCAUAAUAAGGAAGACUCACCUGGGUGUGCUAAGAUUGACGAAGAACCCACAGAUUCUUGGAGACACAAGAAGAGAUGCAAAGAGCUUCACGUACAAGCAGGGUGCACCAAGCUGCUGAGGAAUAAAAGGGACAGUUGGGAUUAACCACGGCUGUAGAAUGUUUGGGUGGAACUUGAAAAAGGUUCUUAAGAAACGCUAAGUAGAUGGCUGCAGUCAAACAUGGAAAAGUUUUGACUGUAAUGCAGACAGCAAUCUCCUAGAAAAAGUCACAAAAGGUCUACGAAACACCUUCCACACUGUAGCCGAUUCUGCAGUUGACCAAGUAUGUUGAUGAACUCAAAUGAACCAGAACAUAGGUAAUAAGCUACACAUACAAACACAGUGGUGUGUACCUUUCUUCUGAUAUAUUUAAUGAACCAUCACAUCACUGUGAUCUUAGGAGAGAUAGUUGGGUAUUAUUAACCCUGUGUGAGUAUGCAAUAAACUGAGGCAUUGAAAGCUUA